rnacentral:rRNA from 1 species
AUUGAAUGCUGGCGGCAUGCCUUACACAUGCAAGUCGAACGGCAGCACGGGAGCAAUCCUGGUGGCGAGUGGCGAACGGGUGAGUAAUAUAUCGGAACGUGCCCAGUCGUGGGGGAUAACGCAGCGAAAGCUGUGCUAAUACCGCAUACGAUCUACGGAUGAAAGCGGGGGAUCGCAAGACCUCGCGCGAUUGGAGCGGCCGAUAUCAGAUUAGCUAGUUGGUGAGGUAAAGGCUCACCAAGGCGACGAUCUGUAGCUGGUCUGAGAGGACGAACAGCCACACUGGGACUGAGACACGGCCCAGACUCCUACGGGAGGCAGCAGUGGGGAAUUUUGGACAAUGGGCGCAAGCCUGAUUCAGCAAUGCCGCGUGCAGGAAGAAGGCCUUCGGGUUGUAAACUGCUUUUGUACGGAACGAAACGGUCCGGGCUAAUACCCUGGGCUAAUGACGGUACCGUAAGAAUAAGCACCGGCUAACUACGUGCCAGCCGCCGCAGUAAGAC